GACGUAGGGCGCGAGCGUUGUCCGGAUUUAUUGGGCGUAAAGAGCUCGUAGGCGGCUUGUCGCGUCGAAUGUGAAAACCCACAGCUCAACUGUGGGCCUGCAUUCGAUACGGGCAGGCUAGAGUUCGGUAGGGGAGACUGGAAUUCCUGGUGUAGCGGUGAAAUGCGCAGAUAUCAGGAGGAACACCGGUGGCGAAGGCGGGUCUCUGGGCCGAUACUGACGCUGAGGAGCGAAAGCGUGGGGAGCGAACAGG
rnacentral:rRNA from 1 species